AGUCGGACGGCAGCACAGAGAAGCUUGCUUCUUGGGUGGCGAGUGGCGAACGGGUGAGUAAUAUAUCGGAACGUACCGAGUAAUGGGGGAUAACUAAUCGAAAGAUUAGCUAAUACCGCAUAUUCUCUGAGGAGGAAAGCAGGGGACCUUCGGGCCUUGCGUUAUUCGAGCGGCCGAUAUCUGAUUAGCUAGUUGGUGGGGUAAAGGCCUACCAAGGCGACGAUCAGUAGCGGGUCUGAGAGGAUGAUCCGCCACACUGGGACUGAGACACGGCCCAGACUCCUACGGGAGGCAGCAGUGGGGAAUUUUGGACAAUGGGCGCAAGCCUGAUCCAGCCAUGCCGCGUGUCUGAAGAAGGCCUUCGGGUUGUAAAGGACUUUUGUCAGGGAAGAAAAGGCUGUUGCUAAUAUCGACAGUUGAUGACGGUACCUGAAGAAUAAGCACCGGCUAACUACGUGCCAGCAGCCGCGGUAAUACGUAGGGUGCGAGCGUUAAUCGGAAUUACUGGGCGUAAAGCGAGCGCAGACGGUUACUUAAGCAGGAUGUGAAAUCCCCGGGCUCAACCUGGGAACUGCGUUCUGAACUGGGUGACUAGAGUGUGUCAGAGGGAGGUAGAAUUCCACGUGUAGCAGUGAAAUGCGUAGAGAUGUGGAGGAAUACCGAUGGCGAAGGCAGCCUCCUGGGAUAACACUGACGUUCAUGCUCGAAAGCGUGGGUAGCAAACAGGAUUAGAUACCCUGGUAGUCCACGCCCUAAACGAUGUCAAUUAGCUGUUGGGCAACUUGAUUGCUUAGUAGCGUAGCUAACGCGUG
rnacentral:rRNA from 1 species